rnacentral:rRNA from 1 species
CGAUGUGCCUAAGGUAUGCAAGUCGAACGAUUCCUGUAUCUUCGGAUACAGGGAGUGGCAAACGGCUGAGUAACGCGUAGGAACCUACCCCAGACUCGAGUAUAGCCCCGCGAAAGCGGGGGUAAUCCUCGGUAGCCCGUGAAGUAUUUUACUUCACGGUAAAGCUUUUGCGGUUUGGGAUGGGCCUGCGUCCUAUCAGGUAGUUGGUGAGGUAAAUGCUCACCAAGCCUAUGACGGGUAGCUGGUCUGAGAGGAUGGUCAGCCAGACUGGGACUGCGACACGGCCCAGACUCCUACGGGAGGCAGCAACUAGGAAUUGUGCGCAAUGGACGAAAGUCUGACGCCGCGACAUCGCGUGGAGGAUGAAGGUCUUCGGAUUGUAAACUCCUUUUCUUACCGAACAAGUUCUGAGUGUAGGUAAGGAAUAAGUGCCUGCUAACCACGUGCCAGAAGCAUCGGUAAUACGUGGGGCACGAGCGUUAUCCGGAUUUACUGGGCGUAAAGAGAAGCGUAGGCGGCUCAAUAAGUUUGGUGUUAAAUCUUCCGGCUCAACCGGAAACAAGCACCGAAAACUAUCGAGAUUGAGUCGAGUAGGGAAGAGGGGAAUUCCUGGUGGAGCGGUUAAAUGCGUAGACAUCAGGAGGAAUACCAAGGGCGAAGGCACCUCUUUGGACUCGUACUGACGCUGAGGCUCGAAAGCGUGGGUAGCAAAACGGAUUAGAUACCCGUGUAGUCCACGCCGUAAACGAUCCCUGUUAG